AUUGAACGCUGGCAGCAGGCCUAACACAUGCAAGUCGAGCGGAUUAAGGGAGCUUGCUCCUGGAUUCAGCGGCGGACGGGUGAGUAAUGCCUAGGAAUCUGCCUGGUAGUGGGGGAUAACGUCCGGAAACGGGCGCUAAUACCGCAUACGUCCUGAGGGAGAAAGUGGGGGAUCUUCGGACCUCACGCUAUCAGAUGAGCCUAGGUCGGAUUAGCUAGUUGGUGGGGUAAAGGCCUACCAAGGCGACGAUCCGUAACUGGUCUGAGAGGAUGAUCAGUCACACUGGAACUGAGACACGGUCCAGACUCCUACGGGAGGCAGCAGUGGGGAAUAUUGGACAAUGGGCGAAAGCCUGAUCCAGCCAUGCCGCGUGUGUGAAGAAGGUCUUCGGAUUGUAAAGCACUUUAAGUUGGGAGGAAGGGCAGUAAGUUAAUACCUUGCUGUUUUGACGUUACCAACAGAAUAAGCACCGGCUAACUUCGUG
rnacentral:rRNA from 1 species